rnacentral:rRNA from 1 species
CAAGUCGAACGAGGUCCAACUGAUGGCAACAUCAGGGACGACCUAGUGGCGAACGGGUGCGUAACACGUGAGAAACCUGCCCCGAUCUCUGGGAUAACAGUUGGAAACGACUGCUAAUACCGGAUGCCGUCGCAGCAUCGCAUGGUGCAGUGACGAAAGGGUUACCGGAUCGGGAGGGUCUCGCGGCCUAUCAGCUAGUUGGUGGGGUAAAGGCCUACCAAGGCAUCGACGGGUAGCUGGUCUGAGAGGAUGAUCAGCCACACUGGGACUGAGACACGGCCCAGACUCCUACGGGAGGCAGCAGUGGGGAAUCUUGCGCAAUGGGCGAAAGCCUGACGCAGCAACGCCGCGUGGGGGAAGAAGGCUCUCGGGUUGUAAACCCCUUUCAGUAGGAACGAAAAUGACGGUACCUGCAGAAGAAGGUGCGGCCAACUACGUGCCAGCAGCCGCGGUGACACGUAGGCACCAAGCGUUGUCCGGAUUUAUUGGGCGUAAAGAGCUCGUAGGCGGUUUGGUAAGUCGGGUGUGAAAACUCUGGGCUCAACCCAGAGACGCCACUCGAUACUGCCAUGACUUGAGUUCGGUAGGGGAGCGGGGAAUUCCUGGUGUAGCGGUGAAAUGCGCAGAUAUCAGGAGGAACACCGGUGGCGAAGGCGCCGCUCUGGGCCGAAACUGACGCUGAGGAGCGAAAGCGUGGGUAGCAAACAGGAUUAGAUACCCUGGUAGUCCACGCCGUAAACGUUGGGCACUAGGUGUGGGCUCUAACCAACGGAGUCCGUGCCGUCGCUAACGCAUUAAGUGCCCCGCCUGGGGAGUACGGGCCGCAAGGUUAAAACUCAAAGGAAUUGACGG